AUAUCAAUAAGCGGAGGAAAAGAAACUAACAAGGAUUCCCCUAGUAACUGCGAGUGAAGCGGGAAAAGCUCAAAUUUAAAAUCUGGCAGUCUCUGGCUGUCCGAGUUGUAAUCUAGAGAAGUGCUGCCCGCGCUGGACCGUGUACAAGUCUCCUGGGAUGGAGCGUCAUAGAGGGUGAGAAUCCCGUCUCUGACACGGACUACCAGGGCUUUGUGGUAUGCUCUCAAAGAGUCGAGUUGUUUGGGAAUGCAGCUCAAAAUGGGUGGUAAAUUCCAUCUAAAGCUAAAUAUUGGCGAGAGACCGAUAGCGAACAAGUACCGUGAGGGAAAGAUGAAAAGAACUUUGGAAAGAGAGUUAAACAGUACGUGAAAUUGCUGAAAGGGAAACGCUUGAAGUCAGUCGCGUUGGCCGGGGAUCAGCCUCGCUCUUUUGCGUGGUGUACUUUCUGGUUGACGGGUCAGCAUCAAUUUUGACCGCUGGAAAAAGGCUUGAGGAAUGUGGCAGCUCCGGCUGUGUUAUAGCUUCUUGUCACAUACAGCGGUUGGGAUUGAGGAACUCAGCACGCCGCAAGGCCGGGUUUCGACCACGUUCGUGCUUAGGAUGCUGGCAUAAUGGCUUUAAGCGA
rnacentral:rRNA from 1 species